UGCGCGUUCGCCACGUGCACUCCGCACUUGUCAGUCGCACUCCGAGAAAGGACGCAGAACACUCCGAGUGACUGCACACUUUUUGUGCUGCAUUUUAUUUUUUAUUUUUUAACAAUUAUUUGUAUUAGUUUUUUUUGUGCAACUCUGAAGGUUGGACUUGAGCUCUUUAUUUUUAAUUGUAUUUUCGGAAGUGAGGAGCAGACUGAUCCUGAUGCGCAAGAGCAUGCACAUGCCGACAUCAGCGGAAAAGUUGGCACCUGAAGGCAAAAGGCCGGCAAGGGAGAGGAUGAGGGGCUCGCUGCAGAUGGAAACACGCGUGGGCGGUAGCAAGGAGGGAUGACUGAACUCCGAGACCCCCAGUGCAGAUCCUCAUCGUGAUCAUCAUGGCCAGGGGCUUCUUGUCUUCCUCCGCCUGUGGUCCACACCUCCACCCAGAGGUCCGAGCUGGGCGAGUGGGCAGAGGAGGGAUGGAGAAGCUCCCUGAAGGCGAGAAGCAGGAGAAAUCAAUACCAAACACGCUCGCCUUGAAGUGGGGCUUUCCUCUGGUUCUCUGUGGCCUGGGGGCACGCAGGCCUCCAAAGGACGGGCCCUCUCAACUGGACCGGACCCCCUUUCUCCACUUGUGUGGUUUUGCUGAAGGGGAUCCCCCAUCACUUCCCACCCCAGCACCCUGAAAGCUGAGACACAGCCAAAAGGGAUAUUUUUUUUUCUCCAGCUGCAACAGAUUGACUUAUUCUCCACCUUCUUUCUUAGGACUUUUGACUCGUUUCAACAGCCUGAACAAAUGUCUUUUGCAAACCAGACAAUCUUUUUCCCCCUCCUCCCAGAAAAAAAUGGACUGAACAGCAAAGAAAACAAUAUAAUCAUUUGGGACUCCUGCUUGGAAUGGAUCAUCAAUAAAUAUAUCAAUAGAUUUGACUAUUGAUCGUCUUGGAAAAAUACUUCUAGUAACUAAUAGUCAAUGUCAAUUUUCUGUUAUUUUUUGUUUUGUUUUCUGCUGUUUUCAGUGUUAUUAAACACAACAUGUACAGAAAUGUGUACAGUUAUUAAACACAACAUGUAUGUGUACAGUUAUUAAACACAACAUGUGUGUGUACAGUUAUUAAACAUAACAUGUGUGUGUACAGUUAUUAAACAUGUGUGUACAGUUAAACUUGUGAGUACAGUUAUUAAACAUAACAUGUGUGUGUACAGUUAUUAAACAACAUGUGUGUGUACAGUUAUUAAACAUGUGUGUAUAAUCAUUAAACAUGUAUGUGUACAGUUAUUAAACAACAUGUGUGUGUACAGUUAGAAAGUGUAGUUAUUAAACACAACAUGUGUGUGUACAGUUAAACAUAACAUGCGUGUGUACAAUAUUAAACACAACAUGUGUAUAGUUAUUAAACAUAACAUGUGUGUACAGUUAUUAAACAUAACAUGUGCGUGUAGUUAUUAAACAUAACAUAUGUGUAUAGUUAUUAAACAUAACGUGUGUGUACAGUUAUUAAACAUAACAUGUGUGUGUAGUUAUUAAACAUAAUAUGUGUGUACAGUUAUUAAACAUUGCAUGUGUGUGUAGUUAUUAAACAUAUGUGUGUACAGUUAUUAAACAUAACGUGUGUGUGUAGUUAUUAAACAUAAUAUUUGUGUACAGUUAUUAAACAUAACGUGUGUGUACAGUUAUAAAACAUAACGUGGAUGUACAAUAAAGAUCACAUUGACAUUCACAUUAUGCUCCAGCGAGUUUUAUUACCAUUUGAUAACCAAAUCCAAAAGGUUUUGAAUUUUUGUUUGCAUAUUUACGUGGUUGAAACGCCAUCAAAUGUAAUAAUUGUAUAAAUGAAUAAAAGGAAAUGCAUGUUGUUAGUGUACCCAAGUUAUUAGAUUCUAAAAUUGGUAUUCAAAAAAAAAUCACCCGUCAUGAAUAUUAUUAUAAAAUCAAGAAAAGCUGCCUUUAGUUUUUGUAUUAAAAAAUAUUUUUAAAAGUCAGAAUGUAAUUAAAAGGAGAGACAACAUACUAAACAUUUAUAUUUGUAUAAAAUCAGCAUAUUAAACGUGUGUCAAAAAUUAAUAUUUGUGCAGUAUUAGUCAUAAUGUUAUAAGAUCAGAAACAAUAGAUCAUGCAUGCUGAAUGGCUUUGCCAGGUAUUUUUGUGUAAUAAACUAUUUUUAUUUGUUGUUAUUGUGUCAUCAUAUUUAUUACAUUAUCAUUAUGUUUUCUUCUCUUUACUUCUAAAUUAAAUGAUAUAAUGUAUGCCAAAAGUAAGGCAGACUUGCAGAAAUUAUUUUAUUUGCAUUUUUUGUAAAAAAAAAAAAAUAAAAAAGAAAAAAAAAAAAGAAAAAAAAGAAAAGAAAAAAAUUCAGAAAUAUAUUUUAAAAAGACUAAAAAUCUACAAUAUACUGUAUAUAUUUGUACCAGUCAACAAAGGUAUAACAAACAAACCAAUGCCUUGUUUGUAUGAAAAACAUAAUAUAUAAUAUUAUAAAAUCCAGAAAAAAAUAUAUAAAAGUAAGUCAGGCUGAAUGGCUAUAGAUUUUUUUUAUGUUAAAUUCACUAUAACUUAAACUGUAUUUGUAAUUUUUGUUGUAUCAUAUAUUAGCUUUAUAAUCAUUAUAUUUUUCCUUCUACAUUAAUGUAUCAGGCCUACACUUGGGGCAGAUUUUCAGAAAUUAAACAUUUGCAUUUUUAUGAAUAAGUUUAGGUGCACUUUAUUUUGUUAACAAAAAAAUAUUAUUUUUACCAAUCAUAAUAUUAUAAAAUCCCGAAAGAUCUGUCAAGUAUAGUUCGGCUGAAUGGCUAUACCAGAUAUUUUAUGUUAAAUUCACUAUCUUAUCGUUUCUUAUUUCUAGUUGUUUUAUCAUAAUAUUGCCUUUAUUAUUUUCAUUCUCUGUACUACCAAAGUAAAGAAUCAGUUCAACAAGGCAGACUUCAAGGAAUUAAUCAUUAGCAUUUUUAGUAAAACAAAAUAGCAAAAUGGAAAAAAACAGAGGCAAAAAUAUAUUUAAAAAAAAUAGUUUAAAUAUACAAAAUUAAUUUGUACAAGUCGCCAAAAUAUAACAACAAAAAUGCCUUUUUGUAUAAAAAAAAUAAAUACUUAAAUAUAUUUAAUCAUAAUAUUAUACAAUUAAGAAAAUAUACAGUAAGUCAGGCUGAAUGGCUUUUUCAAAUGUAAAAUUAACUGACGUCAACUGUUUUUAUUUUUAAUUAUUGUUUUAUCAUGUUUUCCUUCUCUUUACUUCGAAAUAAAAUAUCAUGCCAACACUUGGGCAGACUUCUAGAAAUGAAUAAUUUUCAAUUUUAGUCCAAACAUGUUUAGAUGUAUCUUAUACAAUAACAACAGAUAUAGUAAUAAAACAUUCAAUGGAGAGAUAUGUUUAGUUUGUAUUUUAAAAUACAUACAAAAGUCAGUGAAUCCUUUCACAUUUGUUAUUAGGGCUGUGGCAAAAAAACUGUUUAGGAUCCAAUUAAAGAACGGAAAUUGGAGGUAAAAAAAUAUAUAUAAAAUGAGACUACGGAGAGCAUGAGUCCAACAUGCAAAUUGACACUGUCUCCUUCUGGCAUCUUAGCACGUUUCUAUAGCAACCACAUCUUCUGACACAGACGCCAUCCUAAUUAGUCGCUCUGGCUCAUUCAUUGUCAUUUAACAUGGGCAAAAAUUGGUGUCAAAUAAAUAUAUUGUAAAAAUAAAUAUUAAAUAUGCAUUUCG